rnacentral:lncRNA from 1 species
ACCCAUCUUUCCCCCUCCCUCCCUUACAGCAGCUCUUGGUAGUCAGUCAGAGAUUAAAGAAUUCAUGCCCACUAAUAGAAAUCAUCUGUGCGGAUCGACUGUUUUUCAGGCAGACGCUGUCCCUGUGGAUGCAGUACUCUGAACCUUGAUCAAAUGGGCCAAAACUAAGCUGAUCCCUCUAUUCAUUAAUGGCCUCCUUGAAGUUGGCAGGAUGCCCUGAAGACCUUGACUUCAGCGUGUAUUUUCAGGACUGAGAGAGCUUGAAAAAGAAAUGGAGUUUCUCUCCCCUGGAGGCUUGACUGCUGUGAGAGGUUCCUCCAGCUGGACUGAGUGAACCGCUUUGAACUCAGUUCAUCACAGGGAAGGUGCUACCCCUAUAUGUAUAGCUCCUGAAUGCUCAGUUAUAAUUAUUAUUUUCUUUAAGGAAGUCAUGAUUAAUAGUUCUUAGGUGUGGAUGACUGCCAAUGGCACCUUCUAUGGGAUGAUUUCUCUGCCCAUGAAGACGAAAGYGUGGGCCUUCAGCAGCAAUGCAGGACCUUCCUCUAAAAAUUUUGCCUCAAAGGAAUGGCAGCUUGUGGCCCAUGGCUAUGAAGGCUGUUACGAAGAUCAUCAUGAGGACAGUACAUGGAGUAAAUGCUGAGUUCAGAGUAGGUAAUGCUCCAUGGAGGUGAGCAGCUGCUGGGAGACACACUCAUGAGGGAUGGGAAAGCCUUUGGAGCCAGCAGAGCCCAGCACCAUCUCCAAGGAGUAGGGUCCAGCCGCAAUCCCUGUUGGAUAAAUCUCUCCAAACUGAGCUGCUCUGGGUACAUGUCCAGCUGGAAGCUUGUAUGAUAUGGUAUGGUGAGUGAUACUGUAACAGAGAGGCUGACAGAGUUGUGUCAGCUCUUGCAUAAAUAUGCAUGACCUUUCUCUCUGUCCUACCCCACUGGAUUUUCUAGUACAACUAAUUGCAAUGGCAAGAUCCAGUCCUUUAGCUGCCAGGAUGCUGCAAUGCACUGAAGUACAGGGAGGAUGGAGGAGUCCAUGGCUGUGUGCUUUGCUGCUACGCUCCCCCAGGCAAAAACACUGAUGUGCUCCAGGAGCAGCUUGGUCCCCACCUGGCCAGGGAGCAGGGCAGGGCUCUGCAGCAAGUUUGUUGCUGCUGGCUGGAAAUGGCCCUGCUCAGUGUGAAGGUCAGUGAUAUAUUCUCCUGCGGCUUGGUAUCAGUCAAGUCACAGCCUCACCGGUGUCAGAUCUGCAAUGAAAGAUAUUCUCCUUUGCCUUCUCCUCCUUCUCCCCGGGUUUAAUUCUUUGAAAACUGUAGCUGGUUUUCA